rnacentral:rRNA from 1 species
GAAUUUUGCGCAAUGGGCGAAAGCCUGACGCAGCAACGCCGCGUGGAGGAUGAAGGUCCUUGGAUUGUAAACUCCUGUCAGCAGGGAAGAAAUGCGCCGACCUAAUACGUCGGUGAGUUGACUGUACCUGCAGAGGAAGCCCCGGCUAACUCUGUGCCAGCAGCCGCGGUAAUACAGAGGGGGCAAGCGUUAUUCGGAAUUAUUGGGCGUAAAGGGCGCGUAGGCGGCCAGGCAAGUGGAAGGUGAAAUCCCUCGGCUCAACCGAGGAACUGCCCUCCAAACUGCCGAGCUCGAGUCCGGGAGAGGUGAGUGGAAUUCCCAGUGUAGCGGUGAAAUGCGUAGAUAUUGGGAGGAACACCAGUGGCGAAGGCGGCUCACUGGACCGGAACUGACGCUGAGGCGCGAAAGCGUGGGGAGCAAACAGG